AUUGAACGCUGGCGGCAGGCCUAACACAUGCAAGUCGAGCGGAUGAAGGGAGCUUGCUCCUGGAUUCAGCGGCGGAUGGGUGAGUAAUGCCUAGGAAUCUGCCUGGUAGUGGGGGAUAACGUCCGGAAACGGGCGCUAAUACCGCAUACGUCCUGAGGGAGAAAGUGGGGGAUCUUCGGACCUCACGCUAUCAGAUGAGCCUAGGUCGGAUUAGCUAGUUGGUGGGGUAAAGGCCUACCAAGGCGACGAUCCGUAACUGGUCUGAGAGGAUGAUCAGUCACACUGGAACUGAGACACGGUCCAGACUCCUACGGGAGGCAGCAGUGGGGAAUAUUGGACAAUGGGCGAAAGCCUGAUCCAGCCAUGCCGCGUGUGUGAAGAAGGUCUUCGGAUUGUAAAGCACUUUAAGUUGGGAGGAAGGGCAGUAAGUUAAUACCUUGUUGUUUUGACGUUACCAACAGAAUAAGCACCGGCUAACUUCGUG
rnacentral:rRNA from 1 species